CUGCUGAAGAGAAGUACUAUACUUAUGCAACAAAUUCAUGUGAGGUGGGUCAAAUGUGUGGGCACUACACUCAAAUUGUAUGGAAGACUACUAGGAGAAUUGGGUGUGCUCGUUCUGUUUGUGAUGAUGGAGAUGUGUUUAUGACUUGUAAUUAUGAUCCUCCAGGUAAUUACGUUGGUGAAAGGCCAUAUUGAAAGGUAGUAUAAUUAGAGUUAAUUGAUUAGGUGGUGUUUUUGGGCGUGAAGUUAGUUACUAGUGUUAUUGAACAAAUAUAAAUGCAUAUGUAGGAUAGGAUUAGGAAGAAAUUAAUGGGAGAAGAUUUGUCAUAAUUAAUGUUUGUGGUUGCUUAAAAUAGACCUAUGGAUCUUAU
rnacentral:misc_RNA from 1 species